GACGAACGCUGGCGGCGUGCUUAACACAUGCAAGUCGAGCGGUAAGGCCCUUUCGGGGGUACACGAGCGGGCGAACGGGUGAGUAACACGUGGGUGACCUGCCCUUAGCUCUGGGAUAAGCCUGGGAAACUGGGUCUAAUACCGGAUAUGACUCCAUGACGCAUGUUGUGGGGUGGAAAGCCUUGUGCGGCUAGGGAUGGGCCCGCGGCCUAUCAGCUUGUUGGUGGGGUGAUGGCCUACCAAGGCGACGACGGGUAGCCGGCCUGAGAGGGCGACCGGCCACACUGGGACUGAGACACGGCCCAGACUCCUACGGGAGGCAGCAGUGGGGAAUCUUGCGCAAUGGGCGAAAGCCUGACGCAGCGACGCCGCGUGGGGAUGACGGCCUCGGUGUAA
rnacentral:rRNA from 1 species